rnacentral:rRNA from 1 species
UACGUAGGUGGCAAGCGUUGUCCGGAUUUACUGGGCGUAAAGGGCGUGUAGGCGGUUGGAUAAGUGUGGUGUGAAAUCUCCCGGCUCAACUGGGAGGGUGCGCUACAAACUGUCUGACUAGAGUGUGGGAUGGGUAAGUGGAAUUCCUGGUGUAGCGGUGAAAUGCGUAGAUAUCAGGAAGAACACCCGUGGCUAAGGCGGUUCUCUAGUACGGUACUGACGCUGAGACGCGAAAGCGUGGGGAGCGAACAGG